rnacentral:lncRNA from 1 species
GCAUAAUUUGUAUCACAUAUCAUAUACCAAAAAUUCAUUCAUAUACACAACCAUAAUCAAGCCAAAUCACAUGGCUAGAUAUAUACAUUACAAAACAUAUCCAAAUACCUCUAGUCUAUAGAUGUCAUAUUCUAAUAUUCACAAUGUCAAAAGGUACCAAAAUAUAGUUCGAUAGUGUGGUGACGAUCCUUGAUGAUCCCUGAGCUCCUGGUAGCUACGAUAUCUAUAAAUUAGUUGAAAAACACACAGAGUAAACUUUGAAAAGCUUAGUAAGCCAUAUACAAAUAAAUUUUACGUUUAAAAUAUAUAAACAUCAUCAAAUUACAUAUACUUUGUAGCCAAAUACUACUACCAACCUCUUGUUCAUAUGCAUAUCACAUAAUCUCAAUUCAUUUGCUCUUAUAGCAUAAAUUCACAUAUUUAGAUCAUAUAUUACCAUUUGCACAUAUACUUACCUUUUAUUCUCAAACACAUUAUACCAUUCAAACGUACCUGAAUCGGAUACAUAUUCACAUCGUCAUUCAUUUACUCGAAAUGCUAGUUGAACCGUUCAAAAUCAUAAGGAUACGCGGAUAGCUCGGAAAGCACAUACAAUGCCAACGUCCCAGACGUGGUCUUACAUGUAAUCAAACAUCGAUGUCACUAUCCCAGACAGGGUCUUAUAUGAAAUCAAGUACGAUGUCAACGUCUCAGACGUGGUCUUACACGUAAAUCAUAAGUCGAUACCAACGUCUCAGACGUGGUCUUACACGAUAACACAUAUCAGAUCUUAUAUCAUGACAUUUGUAUCCUAACUAUUCCUAAGGUUCGUACAAGACUUUUUGGACGUCAAAACUUUAUCGAUACUUUCUUAGAGAUCUCAUUCUCAACACUUAUAAUCAUCCAACAUUGUUCAAAAGCAUAUAAGAAAUAAUAAUUCAAAAUAAAUAAAUUUAUUUGUAUAUCGACUUACCUCGUAUGGAAAUGAACGGAAACAAGCAACUAUUCAACGACUUUUGUUUUCCCCGAUCUAAUUCUAUUUUCUUUGGUUCUUAAUCUAAACAUAUUCAAAUUUAACCAUUUUAUUCACCAAAUCGUUCAAAUCAAUCCAUAUACACAUAUUUAGGAUAUUUUACAAACUAGUCCUCAUAUUUUUACAUUUUGACACUUUAGUCCCUAGUCACAAAAAUCACAAAAUACACAAAAAUUUCCUUAUACACAUGCCUAGCCGAAUUUUCAUAUAGCUCAUAUAAGCCCACAUAUUUCAUUUAUUUCACAUUUUAGUCCCUCAAUUUAAAAAUUUCUCAAUUUAGUCCAAAUUACUCAAAUUCAUCAAAAAUUCAAAGACAAAACAUGUUAACUCAAAACAUAUCUUCCAUUUAUCAAUAACUAACAUCACAAAACUCAUAUUUUUAUCAAUGGCAUAUUUCAAAAUCAUCAUCAAAAUCAGAAAUUAGGGCAAGGGCUUAAUAGAAUAUAGUGCAACAAUUACAAAAACGUAGAAAUUAUCAAAAACCGAGUCAAAACCAUACAUUAAUCAAGAAAUCAAAGUGCCAAAACCGAAUGCAAGAAUAUGGUUUAUUCUUUCUUCUAAUUUCGGUUGAAAAUGAUGAUAUGAGACUAAUUUUUAUGUUUGCUUUAUUAAUAAUAACUUAAAUAACCAAAUACUAAUUUUACCCUUAAUGAAAUAACAUAUAAAACAUUAACAUUAAGGUCAUUUAUGACCACUCAUAGGGUGAGUUUGGAUGGGCGGUGCGUUUAGCUGCAGUUAGUGUAAAAACAGCGGUGAGAUUAGAUACUGUAGAGAUACUGUAGCGUGAGACAAAAAGUAAGUUAAACGCACCGCACCGUAAUCAAUCGCCCAUCCAAAGGAAGCCAUAUAUUCAAUGGUAUAAUUGCAUCAUAAGGACCUCUAUUUUAAUAAGACAAAUCAAAUAGGUACUUUUACAAGUAGUAGGCAACUUUUACAUUUUAUGCGAUUAGGUCCUUUUUACAAUUAAGCACACAAACGAUUAAAUUUUCAUACGAAACUUUCACACAUGCUAAUUAUAUUUAAAUAUUUUUUUACUCGAAUUUGUAGUCCCGAGACCACUAUUCCGACUAGGGUCUAAACCAUACUGUUACAUUAAGCAUGCUGUAGCAAAACAUUCAAAUAACAUAUUUACCAACCACUUCAUCCAACUCAAUCUAUAAUAUCUGACACAUUCUAUUCAAAGUUUGAUACCAUAUAGUCAUUUCGUAAUUGUUCCUUACAUAAAUCAAUUUACAUAUACCUAUUUCAAGUAUCGAUAUUAUCACAACAUGAUUCAAAAAUUCCAAGCUAAUAUCGUUUAAACUUAAGAAUAUACAGAAUUCGUAACUUGUUAUAUUUUAUUGAGACGGUUCCAUAUCAAAUAAUUUUAUUAUUUCGAUGGAUAUUUGUAAAAUUAUUCAACACAUAAGUUUAGAAAUAGAUAAUGCUCGUAAGAGCUAGUCAUAUACAGAAUAACGCUGUCAAGUUACUCGCCCAGGAUAAACCAAUGACAACUCAGAAAACUAGUCUGGCCAGGGCUAUGUAUACAUGCAAAACGACAAUGGAUUACUAGUCUAGGCUAAAUUUGAGUCACAUGUAAAUUCGAGUCCACAACACAUGUAGGAACUCAGUCCAAAUCAGAAAUUCAUACAAAAAUAUCAUGUAUGAAACUUUUACUUUACCCAUCGAAAUUAUAUUAGAACAUUCAGUAUAGUUAACAUAAAUUAACUUAUUUUAGCAGUUUUGAAUAUAUAUAUAAACAUCAAUAACAGUAUUUAAUAAUGAAUUAGAACCAAAACAUUCAUAGAACUUACUUGACAAAAACAAUUGUAAAAAUAAAGUCAACAACCACUCCAAAACCUUAGUUUUUCCUUUAUUUGUGUUUGCUUGAGUCGUUUCUUGAUCUAGAUAAAUAUUCUUGUUUAAUUAAUCCAUUUCCAGAAUUAGAUAAAUAAUUUAUACUUAUAGACCCCUUUUAUUAACAAUUUACAAAAUUUCCCUAACAUUUUAACCUUAAUGCAAUUUGGUCCCUAAACCCAAAAUUCACAAUUUAACCAUAACUAAAGAAACUCCAUGCUAACCGAUUUUCCUAGGGAUCCAUAACAACCCAAAUUUCUCAUCAUUUCACACUAUUAUCAACAAAAUUUACUAUUCUCUCAAAUAGGUCCCUAAAUUUUAAAAUCAUAAAAAAUCACUUAACAAAAAACUUAUGUUUAACUACUGACCUUAAUAAUCUAUCAACUAGAUCCACUAACACUUCCAAUUCAUUCAUGGCAAGUCUCUAAACUUUUAAAAAUUUUACAAAUUGACCCCAGGGUUGAUAGAUUAAGCUAAUAAGAGCUCAAAGACAUAAAAAUUAUUAAAAACGGGCAUCAAACAUAUACCACGCAUGAGAGAUUAAGCUUGGCCAAAAGUUCUGCCUUCAACAAUGGUGUUUUCAGCUUGGAGAAGACGAGAAUAAACAAAAUAAAAAAAAUAAUGUGCUUUGUUUAUUUUACUUUCCUUAAGUUUGUUUUUAAUUAUUAUUAUAAAAUUAUAACAUAUAAAUUAAUUAAAUAAAUAAUUAACCAUGCAUGCCACUAAGAUUUGGCAUAAUUGCCAUAAAAACCCUUGUAACCAUAUUAAUUUAACCUUUAGUACCUUUAACUUAUAGAAACCAACUUUUGUAACUUUUACGAUUUAAUUCUUUUUACCUCAUUAACUAUUUAAAUGCUAAAAUUUUUUAAUCAAAUUUUAAUAUGACCCUAAUAAUGCUCCAGUGGCUUUGUCGACUACUGAGGUAGAAUACAUGGCAAUUAAAAAAACAAUUUGGUUAAGGGGACUGUUCAGUGAACUGGUAAGUGAAAAAGGGGCAAUUGUUGUAUAUUGUGAUAGUCAAAGUGCCAUACAUUUCAGCAAAGAUCAAAUGCAUUACGAAAGAACUAAUCACAUAGACAUUCGUUAUCAUUUUUUUUUGAGAGGUGAUCAUUCAAAGGGAUGUUUAUAUUCUUAAAAUUGGCAUAGAACAUAAUUCGACAGAUAUGUUGACAAAGAGCCUUCCAGUUUCAAAGUUCGAGCAUUGCUUGGACUUGUUAAAUAUACAAUGAAGAAUCAAUUAAGCCCGUAACAAGGCUUGGCAAGGAAGUUGGUCCAAAUACAAGUCAAUGUGAAGAUUUGUAGGAAAAUGCCUUUUAUUUUAACCAAAGUUUAUUUUGGCUUUUCUUCUCCUAGUUAAACUCUAUUUUUAGUUUUCUACUUAAACUCUAAUUAACCUAGAGCUUUUGUAGUCAUAUAUGCUACGAAUUUUAGCCUAUAAAUAGACCUUAGUUACUCUAUGUUUUACAAAAACAAAAUAUUUAGAUUGAAAGAAUUUUGUUUAUUUGUUUUGAAGGGAUUUUCUUGUGGGGCUUCGGGUUUUUCUUCUAAUUCUGUCCAUAUUUUGUACUCUCCUUUAUUAUAGUAAAAUUUCUUUUUGCCUUGUGGUUUUUUAUCCUCUUUUGAAGAGUUUUUUCACAUAAAAUUUGCGUGUUCGAUCUUUUUAAUUCUUAUUUUCUUCACUUUGUUCGUUAUUUAAUCGAGUUUAUCCCCUACAUACUUUAUUUGUAUAAUUUUUUCAUUGUUUGAAAACAAUAGUGUUGGGAGGACAAUCACGAAACCCAAACAUGAGAUUUGAACUUGUCAAAAAGUAAUUAGUUAAUACUUAAAAUUUUUUUUUGGACCUAGUGGGUAUUUGAACUUGUAUUUUGUCGCACAUUUUGAUAACUCCACACUAAUAUUGUUAGUUUGUGUUGAUGUUGCACUGUCAACCAAUCAUAUGGUGACACGUGACAGCCUCUCAUCAUAACACGUAAAAGACAUAAAAUAAAAAUAAAAAUAAAAAUAAAAAUAUUAAAAAUAUAUAAAUUAAUAAAAAAUAUAUUUUUUUCAUGUAAAAAAUGAACCUAAACCAAUUGAUGUCUAGAUUCAUUUAGACAACUAUUUGUCCAUAUGUUUUUUUAUAUACAUUUAUAACUUUAUAAAUUUGUAAAUUUUUUAUAUUUAUGGAUUUUUAUAAAUUUAUAAUGUUUUAAAAUUUUAAAAUAUAUAUGUUUAUAUGUUUUCUGAAUAUUUUAUGCUUUUUAUAUUUUUAAUUAUAUAUAUUUUUAUAAAUUUAUUUGUUUUAAUUUAUAUAUUUUAUGUAUUUUGUAAAAUAAUAAUAACAUAAAAAUGAUAAUUUAUAAAAAAACUAAAUAUAUAUAAAAAAAUUAACUAACUAAAAAUAUUUUAUAUUUCUUAAUUUUAAAAUAAUAAUAUAAAAAACUAAUAUUUUAUUAAAAACUAAAAACAUAUAAAAUUAAUAAAAAAUUUAAUUUUGAAUGAAUCUAAACAGAUAGUAGUCUACAUUCAAAUUCAAGAGGUAUAUUAACCGUUUUGUAUUAUAUAUUCAAGAUUCUUUUUGGUGUUAUUAUUUUCAUUAGAAAAACCAAAAUUUCUGAUUAACCCGAAAAGGAAAUAUUUUCCUUUAUUAUAAAACCUAUAAAGUAUUCAGACAAAAUAAAAUCUAUAAAAUAUGUACAAAACAAAAAUAAAAUCUAUAAAUAAACAAAUAUUCCAUGAACAUCUCAACUCACUCCCAGACUCAAUAUGUCAACCCUUAAGAUCACUAAAAAGCACCACAGACAUCUAAACAACCCUUUCCCUUCCACACCAACAUAUCUCCCCAUCAUUCAAGGUAACCUCUUCAUCAAUUCCCAAACACUACCUCCCAACCAAAAUUCCCCUCUUGGCAAGGAUUUUCAGCUUAUUUGGAGCACCCAAAAUGGUGGGUAUCUCUCAAUUUCCCACGUUUCACACCCUUCAAAGUCAUUAUGGUCCACUAUCCCUGGACAAGCAUUUAUAUCAGCAGCCAUGGCUGAAACAGAGGUGGAAGAAAGCAGGGGAUCUUUUGCUAUCAAAGAUAGAGAUGUUCACCUGGUUUGUGAUCAUCAGAGUAUUGAAGAUAUUAUUUUGAUCAAUCAAUUUGAUGACUUUCAACUUGAUUAUUUGGACUUAGAUCACCUUAAAACGAAUUCCAAAUUUGCAGAUUCCCCUGUUUUGAUUAUAACAGGGCAUAUUUUCAGCAAAAGGACAAAGAAAUGGCUUCAAAGUUCAAGCAUUUAUAGGUCUGCUUCAGCAAGGUAUUGGGUUUUGUUUGAUCAAAAGGAAAAUAACCAAAUUGGAUUCAAAGUCAAAAUUGGACAACCAAAAUUUCAGCUUCAUCAUCACCCCAAAGCUUCACCUUCAACAUCAUUAGGAAGGUACCGCCGUUUAAGGAGGAAACUAAGGCGGCAUCGAAAAUGGAAACUGGGAUGGUGUUGGUUCCUUACAAGGACAAAAGGGUUGUCCAUAAAUUCUUCAUCAGAGGAGGAACUAGGAGAAUCCAAUGUUGUAGAAACUGCCUUAGAAUUCAAUAGGGUUUGUUUAACCUAUGCAAGUGAAAGAAACGAGAGAUUUUUUGGUUUUGGUGAGCAAUUUUCUCACAUGGAUUUUAAGGGUAAAAGGGUACCUAUUUUUGUUCAAGAACAAGGUAUUGGAAGAGGAGAUCAACCUAUUACUUUUGCUGCUAACUUGGUUAGCUAUAGGUAAGAUUGCUUUGCUAUUAAUCAUUUAAAAGGUUUAGGCUUUUAAUUCUCAAAAAUGAAAUUUCUUUGUUGUAGAGCUGGUGGAGACUGGAGCACUACUUAUGCUCCUUCACCUUUCUAUAUGACAUCCAAAAUGAGGUCUCUUUACUUGGAAGGAUACAACUAUUCUGUAUUCGAUCUUACUCAACCUGAUAGGGUCCAAUUACAGGUAUGUUUCAAUACAGUUCAUCAUGAAACUGUGCUCUAUUUGCUUAUGAAACAAGUGAUACUGAAUCUUGUGUGCUUGAGGUUAAUGAAUGUUAUAAAGCUGUUUAAGGAAUUAGAUUGUUUUGAGGCUCAUUCGGAUUUUAAAACAUGCAGUUUUCUAUUUUCUGUAUGUUGGAGCUUGCAGAUACAUGGAAAUGCAAUGCAAGGGAGGAUACUACAUGGAAACUCGCCUUUGGAGAUCAUUGAACACUUCACGGAAGCCAUUGGGAGGCCUCCCGAGCUUCCUGAAUGGGUGAUAUCUGGUGCAGUAGUUGGCAUGCAAGGGGGUACAGAAACUGUACUCCGUGUUUGGGAUAAAUUGAGAACUUAUAAGGUUCCCAUUUCAGCAUUUUGGUUGCAGGUAAUGCACUUGCCUUUGUUCAAUACUGAAACUGACAGAAAACCACAAUUAUGGUAUGUGAUGAUUUGAAAAGAAAACUUUGGUCUGUUCAAAGAAACAUUAUUAAAGUUAGAACUCUAAAUACAAGUUUUCUGUCAAUUUGAUUUGAAGCUUUUAUGUUGUAGGAUUGGGUGGGGCAAAGGGAAACCUUUAUCGGAUCACAAUUAUGGUGGAACUGGGAAGUGGAUGUAACAAGGUAUCCUGGAUGGCAACAGUUGGUUAAAGAUCUUAGCAAACACUACAUCAAAGUGAUGACAUACUGCAAUCCUUUUUUAGCACUGGUGCUUCUUUGCUUCCUUUUGUCAAAGCCAUGGCUAUGAUUAAGCUAACUAUGCACACUUAUCUUUUAUGAAGCACUACACUGUAGUUUGAUAACUGAUAUAAAGCUUGAAGCCUUAUUUGAGACUUUAUCUUCGUUUUACAGAUGGAUGAGAAGCCAAACAAAAGGCGAAAUCUCUUUGAGGAAGCGAAAGAGCUAGACAUUUUGGUGAAAGAUGAUCGUGGAGAACCAUACAUGGUUCCAAAUACAGCGUUUGAUGUAGGAAUGCUGGACUUGACACACCCACUGACUGCAAAUUGGUUCAAGCAAAUUUUACGCGAAAUGGUGGAUGAUGGAGUUCGAGGAUGGAUGGCUGAUUUUGGUGAAGGUCUGCCUGUGGAUGCUGUACUUUAUUCAGGUUUCAAUCUCAACUGCAUUUGAACUAGUCUUCUUAUAUUGAAGCAUAAAUAAGCUAUAUAUUUACCAGUCCACGCUAUAUGCUCUAUCAUUUUUGGUGGCAAUGACUUCAAUCAUCUCCAAGCUAGUUUGUCAUCUCAAAACUAAACUACAAUAUUUCAAGAUUUUAGUUGGCUAUCGUUGCCCAUGGUGACUUCCAGAAAUGUCAUUAGAUCACACCAUAGUAAAUUUCCCUUCAAUUUUAAUAACAAGCAUAGUAAAUGGUCCUUUUGCAAAGUGUUAUAGCCAUUCUGUGGUCAACAUCCUCAAAUCAAUUGCACUCUUUCUUGUAGUAAACAUGAAAGCUUGUCGUCAGGAAAUUGCUUGUAUAAUCUCCUCAGCAGCCAGAUGUUUACAUGAUGUUUCUUUUCUGGUAAAAAUACCAUGGAGGCCCCUGUAUUAGGACUCAAAUUACAUUUUGCCCCCUCUACUAAAAUAAUGAGCAAAUUAGUCUCUGUAUGUUUGAUCAAAGAGCAAAGUAGUCCUUCUGUUAAAAAUUGUAUCCAUUUUUAUUAUUAAAAACUGUCCUGUGCAUUAGCAUGAUGUACGUGUGGUUCAUCAACCAUACCAGCUUUUAAUAGUACAAACGGAUGAAAAUUUUAAUAGAAAGGACUAUUUUGCUCUUUGAUUUAACAUAUAAGGACUAAUUUCCUCUUUUUUUGAGUAAAGAGGGUGAAAUACAAUCUAAAUCUUAGUACAGGGGCCUCCAUGGUACUUUUACUGUUAGGUUCCUCUUUUCCUAGCCCCUCUCCUCUCCUUUAUUCCUACUGUUUUCCUGUUGAACUAUAUCAAUAAGGAUAUACUCGUUCAUUUCAGGUGAAGAUCCUAUUGCUGCUCAUAACAGAUAUCCAGAAUUAUGGGCUCAAAUAAAUCGAGAAUUUGUGGAAGAAUGGAAAAGUCAUUGCACAGGAAAGGAAAGAGAAGAUCCCCAAGAGGACUUAGUCUUCUUCAUGAGGGCUGGUUUCAGGGAUAGUCCAAAAUGGGGAAUGCUGUUUUGGGAAGGGGACCAAAUGGUAAGCUGGCAAGCUAAUGAUGGUAUAAAGAGUUCUGUUGUUGCCCUAUUGAGCAGUGGACUUUCCGGUUAUGCUUUUAACCAUAGUGAUAUCGGAGGCUAUUGUACCAUGCACUUACCUUUUAUUAGGUACUGUCGAACUGAAGAGUUGCUUUUGAGAUGGAUGGAGCUAAAUGCAUUCACCAUAGUUUUCCGUACUCAUGAGGUAAGUCAAAGUCCAUCCUGAAAUAUCGAAACACGAUAUUGUUAGUAACUGAUAUCAAUGUUUCUUCUGUAAGGGAAACAAGCCUUGGUGCAACAGUCAAUUUUACUCCAACGACAAAACGUUAUCACAUUUUGCACGCUUUGCUAAGGUGUACAAAGCUUGGAAGUUUUACAGAGUCGAACUCGUAAAGGUAAAUGCCAGAAACAAGCAAGUUAUAUGUGCAAUGAUGCAACAAGCAACAUAUGUAAUGAUCUAACAAACCUCUUGCUGUCUUCGUUGUACACAAAACAAAUAGGAAGCGGCUCAAAAGGGAUCACCUGUCUGCCGUCAUCUAUUUCUUCACUACCCAAACGACGAGAGGGUUCAAAGCUUAAGUUACGAGCAGUUCUUGGUAGGCAGUGAGAUCCUAGUGGUUCCUGUUCUUCACAAAGGUAAGAAAAAUGUCAAAGUUCAUUUCCCAGUUGGAGAAACUUGUAGUUGGCAACAUAUUUGGACCGGAAAAACAUACCAAAAACAAGGUUGUCAAGCUUGGGUUGAAGCUCCAUUAGGCUAUCCUGCUGUAUUUGUUAAGGUUGGCUCUAUAGUCGGAGAAACUUUUCUAAGAAACUUGAAAAAUUUUGAUAUUUUGUAAGCG